rnacentral:misc_RNA from 1 species
GAUGAAGAACGCAGCGAAAUGCGAUAAGUAAUGUGAAUUGCAGAAUUCAGUGAAUCAUCGAAUCUUUGAACGCACCUUGCACCCUUUGGAAUUCCAAAGGGUAUGCUCGUUUGAGUGUCAUUGUACUCUCACACUCUCCGAUCCUUUGGAUUUGGGGAGCGGUGGACUUGGGUGUUUGCUGCUUUCAUUGUGGCUCACCUCAAAUGUGUCAGUGCACCUCUUGAUUGGACAUAGUACGGCGUGAUAAGUGUCUUCGCCGGCUCCUCGCAAAGAGGGUGGCCGAUCGGGAGCUCUGUUGCUUCAAACUGUCUUCGGACAAUCUUCUGGCGACUUGACCUCAAAUCGAGUAGGACUACCCGCUGAACUUAAGCAUAUCAAUAAGCGGAGGA